rnacentral:rRNA from 1 species
UACGGAGGGAGCUAGCGUUUGUUCGGAAUUACUGGGCGUAAAGCGCACGUAGGCGGCGAUUCAAGUCAGAGGUGAAAGCCCGGGGCUCAACCCCGGAACUGCCUUUGAAACUAGAUUGCUAGAAUCCUGGAGAGGUGAGUGGAAUUCCGAGUGUAGAGGUGAAAUUCGUAGAUAUUCGGAAGAACACCAGUGGCGAAGGCGGCUCACUGGUCCGGUACUGACGCUGAGGUGCGAAAGCGUGGGGAGCAAACAGG